rnacentral:rRNA from 1 species
CCAGACUCCUACGGGAGGCAGCAGUGGGGACUCUUGCACAAUGGGCGCCCGCCUGAUGCCGCCCUGCCGCGUGUCUGCCGAAGGCCUUCGGGUUGUAAAGUCCUUUCAGCGGGGCGGCCGGUGCUGAGGUUACUCACCUCAGCACUUGACGUUACCCGCAGAAGAAGCACCGGCUAACUCCGUGCCAGCAGCCGCGGUAAUACGUAGGGUGCGAGCGUUAAUCGGAAUUACUGGGCGUAAAGGGUGUGCAGGCGGCUGAGUAAGACAGAUGUGAAAUCCCCGGGCUUAACCUGGGAACCGCAUAUGUGACUGCUUGGCUAGAGUGCAUCAGAGGGAGGUGGAAUUCCACGUGUAGCAGUGAAAUGCGGAGAUAUGUGGAAGAACACCGAUGGCGAAGGCAGCCCCCUGGACAAAGACUGACGCUCAGGUGCGAAAGCGUGGGGAGCAAACAGGAUUAGAUACCCGCGUACA